UAGAAAUAUUUAAAGUGCGAUUUGGAGCGCUAAUCUUAAAGGUUUUGGCCCAAAAUUGGGCCAACGGACAAAAAUAAGUGAACUGGGCCUAAGUGGGCCCAAGACCCAACAUAUAUAAACAUUAGUUAUGAGCAUUUCAGCUCAUUUUACCCUAAAAAGAAGGGUUGGGGCGCUGAAUUAAGAAGAGAGAAGAGAAGAGAGAAAACCUAACUCUCUUUGAUCUUCAAACCACCAUAACUUGAGCUACGGAGCUCCGAUUGACGAGCCGUUUGCGGCCACGCGUCGCUCUUCUCAUCCUCUACAAUUCUAUCUAAGUUUUGUGGGAUACUCCAACAUGGAUUCUAAGUGGGUUCUAUCCCUACUUCAUAUGGGCUGAGUGCAUUUGAUGGUUUUGGUGCACAAUUGGGAGAUUGGUGUUGCUUGAGGAGCUUUGGUGAGGCUUGAGGCUAAGGUUGGUGGAGACUUCUAAAGAAGAGACUCAAUUGAUU